UUCAACCCCACUUCUGGUCUUAAAAAGAAAGGAACUGAAGAAACUCUAAAGCUGCUGGAGAAGGAGAAGUACGUUGAGGGCUUCAAACUGAAAUCAGCUGCUUGCCUGAAAUCUGGCUUUCCAAUGAAUGCACGAUCUACCCAUCAAAGGACAGAACCAAACGGUGGCCUCGGCUGGAAGAUGCCACGAGUGGGAGAAGCUGAGAAAUCCCAUGCAAGUUUUAAAUGCAACCUUCUUUGUGCACGGAGCUAAUGACGGCAGUUUAGAGAGGGGGAGUGUCCACUGCCUUAGUUGCAGGCCUAGGACUUGAUCUAAAUUCAGUGGCUCUGCAAAAGACUCCCAAUGUGAAUGUGCACAAGUCCUUCAGACCCUGAUCUUCCAAGAUGCUCAGGUGCCUAAAUACCCCUGAUGAUUAAUCUUCCCAUGCACUGCUUUUCUCCUCUCAGAGAUGGGCUCAGUGAUGUUCCUUCGCUCUAACCUGCUUACUUCAUAAGCCCUCUCUUCUUUUUCCCGAUGUGUAUACAUGGUCCAUAGCAGAGUGCGUCAUGGGUACACCUGUAAGACUAAUAGUAAUCAGCUGUUCUGCAUUCAAUGGAAUUGGACCAGAAUAAAUGAGACCAUAAUCCAGUGUUGUAUUCUUAGUUGGAAACUAAUACCUGCGUAAACCUGAGGCCUAACUGAUACAAAAGCAUAGUCUUCCAUUGGUGUAACUUUGCUGGCAUCAGUGCGAUCGCUACUUGGCCACAGCAGUAUAAAUCGGAUCAGAAUGGAGCAACCCCUGCAGUUUUUAAUUUUCCUGGUGACUCUGACAUUAUGCAAAGUCUUAAAGGCUUCAGAACAGCUGAUGCCUUUCAGUUGUCAUUGUGCUGCAUGUGGAUAA